CCGUAACUAUAACGGUCCUAAGGUAGCGAAAUUCCUUGUCGGGUAAGUUCCGACCCGCACGAAAGGCGUAAUGAUUUGAGCGCUGUCUCGACAAUGCACCCGGUGAAAUUGAAAUACCAGUGAAGAUGCUGGUUACCUGCGCCAGGACGGAAAGACCCCAUGGAGCUUUACUCCAGCUUGAUACUGGGAUUCGGUAUUGCAUGUACAGGAUAGGUGGGAGACUGAGAAACUAGGACGCCAGUCUUAGAUGAGUCGCUGUUGGGAUACCACCCCUGCGGUAUUGGAUUUCUAACCAGCAGCCGUGAACCGGCUGGGGGACAAUGUCAGGUGGGGAGUUUGACUGGGGCGGUCGCCUCCGAAAGGGUAUCGGAGGCGCUCAAAGGUUCCCUCAGAAUGGUUGGAAACCAUUCGAAGAGUGCAAAGGCAGAAGGGAGCUUGACUGCGACACCGACGGGUGGAGCAGGUACGAAAGUAGGACUUAGUGAUCCGGUGGUAUAAAGUGGGAUUGCCAUCGCUCAACGGAUAAAAGCUACCCUGGGGAUAACAGGCUUAUCACUCCCAAGAGUUCACAUCGACGGAGUGGUUUGGCACCUCGAUGUCGGCUCAUCGCAUCCUGGGGCUGUAGUAGGUCCCAAGGGUUGGGCUGUUCGCCCAUUAAAGCGGUACGCGAGCUGGGUUCAGAACGUCGUGAGACAGUUCGGUCCCUAUCCGGCGCGGGCGUAGGAUAUUUGAGAGGAGCUGCCCUUAGUACGAGAGGACCGGGGUGGACUGGCCUCUGGUGUAUCUGUUGAGCCAUCAGGCUCAUGGCAGAGUAGCCAAGCCGGGACGGGAUAAACGCUGAAGGCAUCUAAGCGUGAAGCCCCCCUCAAGAUGAGAUAUCCCAUACGCAAGUAGUAAGACCCCUUGAAGACGACGAGGUAGAUAGGGCAGAGGUGGAAGUGCCGUAAGGCAUGGAGCUGACUGUUACUAAUCGGUCGAGGGCUUAACCAA
rnacentral:rRNA from 1 species